rfam:Trachymyrmex cornetzi contig37012, whole genome shotgun sequence.
GUCUCGGUGGUCUAAAGGCUUAGGACGCUCGCACGGAAUGCAAGAGAUCCGGGUUCGAUUCUCGGCCGAGGCA